rnacentral:rRNA from 1 species
GAAACGGCGGCUAAUACCGGAUGCUCCGGGGAGGCCCCAUGGCCUCCCCGGGAAAGCCUUAACGGCGCGGGAUGGGGUCGCGGCCCAUUAGGUAGACGGCGGGGUAACGGCCCACCGUGCCCGCGAUGGGUAGCCGGACUGAGAGGUCGACCGGCCACAUUGGGACUGAGAUACGGCCCAGACCCCUACGGGAGGCAGCAGUGGGGAAUUUUGCGCAAUGGGGGGAACCCUGACGCAGCAACGCCGCGUGCGGGACGAAGGCCUUCGGGUUGUAAACCGCUUUCAGCAGGGAAGACUUUGACGGUACCUGCAGAAGAAGCUCCGGCUAACUACGUGCCAGCAGCCGCGGUAAUACGUAGGGGGCGAGCGUUAUCCGGAUUCAUUGGGCGUAAAGCGCGCGUAGGCGGCCGCCUAAGCGGAACCUCUAAUCCCGGGGCUCAACCUCGGGCCGGGUUCCGGACUGGGCGGCUCGAGUGCGGUAGAGGCAGGCGGAAUUCCCGGUGUAGCGGUGGAAUGCGCAGAUAUCGGGAAGAACACCGAUGGCGAAGGCAGCCUGCUGGGCCGCCACUGACGCUGAGGCGCGAAAGCUGGGGGAGCGAACAGGAUUAGAUACCCUGGUAGUCCCAGCCGUAAACGAUAAGCGCUAGGUGUGGGGGGACCAUCCCCCCGUGCC